rnacentral:rRNA from 1 species
AGCGAACGCUGGCGGCAGGCUUAACACAUGCAAGUCGAGCGGGCGUAGCAAUACGUCAGCGGCAGACGGGUGAGUAACGCGUGGGAACAUACCUUUUGGUUCGGAACAACACAGGGAACUUAGUGCUAAUACCGGAUAAGCCCUUACGGGGAAAGGAUUAUCGCCGAAGAUUGGCCCGCGUCUGAUUAGCUAGUUGGUGAGGUAACGGCUCACCAAGGCGACGGUCAGUAGCUGGUC